rnacentral:lncRNA from 1 species
CUGCCUUUCCCGCCUCGCUUGAGGACAUUGGUUGUCAGGUAAUAUCCCACCACGCCCUCCCAGACCUUGCUUUCCGGACUAUUUAAUCAAGGAGGGCAAUACUUUUUUUACAUUUAUUCAAAAAGCAUCGUGUGCCAUGUGCCAGGCACUGCGCAAGGUUUGGAAAUACACGGCUGACUGAAACAAAACUGCGCCUUCAAGGAGCUUACGGUCUAUUGGGGAAACAGACCAGAAACAGAUACCUACAAAAUAAAGACAAGCGCAAGGAAAGAGAAGCUGAAACUUGGGCAGAUAUUGGAGUUGGAGUUCUGCUGGGUGAGUAUGAAGGGGACAGAAAGCAACGGGAGGGAGGGCCGAGACGCAGCUGGUUAAGCAUCCUGCUCUAAUCUCUGCUCAGGUCAUGAUCUCAUGGCUUGUGGGAUCGAGCCCCCCAUCGGGCUCUGCACUUACAGCUCCGAGCCUGCUCGGGAUUCUCUCUCUCCCUCUCUCUCUCCACCCCUCCCCUCCCCUGCUCUCUCUCUCUCAAAAUAAAUAAAUUGUAAAAGAGAGUUUAAGAAGCAAGGGAUUUGAUGGCACUUGCUGCAUUCGAGCGAUUUAAAAUGACAGGUGGCUCUCACUUCCAGCUGGGUGCACACAGAAUUAUCCAGGAGGCUCCCAAGAGUCUGAUUUAAUGGGUUCGGGAUGGGGCCUGAGCACUGGUAGGGCUUCAAAAGCUCUCCAGGUGCUUCUAAUGUGCAGAGACUGACCAUGCGGACCAUGAAUCCUGAGGCGGAAACAGGAGAGAGCCAAUGAGAAGUGAGAACCUGGUGGGCCCAGUGAAUCUGAAGUAAAUGGUAGCAGUGGGGCACCGGAGCAAGGAAGCUGGGAGGAUCAGAAGUCAUCAUCCAUAGGUAAAUAUUUGGAAGUGUUUGAAAAUAUCUGAGUUGUGAAGGGCAAGGUCAUUGUAGGCGAGGGGGUGAGAACUGAAUGGAUUACCCACAUGGACACUGAGUGUCCGUGGUGAGGAGUGUGACCCAUGGGCUGGAC